CCUACGGGAGGCAGCAGUGGGGAAUAUUGGACAAUGGGCGCAAGCCUGAUCCAGCCAUGCCGCGUGAGUGAUGAAGGCCCUAGGGUUGUAAAGCUCUUUCACCGGAGAAGAUAAUGACGGUAUCCGGAGAAGAAGCCCCGGCUAACUUCGUGCCAGCAGCCGCGGUAAUACU
rnacentral:rRNA from 1 species